CCUACGGGAGGCAGCAGUGGGGGAAUCUUGCGCAAUGGGCGAAAGCCUGACGCAGCCAUGCCGCGUGAAUGAUGAAGGUCUUAGGAUUGUAAAAUUCUUUCACCGGGGACGAUAAUGACGGUACCCGGAGAAGAAGCCCCGGCUAACUUCGUGCCAGCAGCCGCGGUAAUACGAAGGGGGGCUAGCGUUGCUCGGAAUUACUGGGCGUAAAGGGAGCGUAGGCGGAUAGUUUAGUCAGAGGUGAAAGCCCAGGGCUCAACCUUGGAAUUGCCUUUGAUACUGGCUAUCUUGAGUAUGGGAGAGGUUAGCGGAACUCCGAGUGUAGAGGUGAAAUUCGUAGAUAUUCGGAAGAACACCAGUGGCGAAGGCGGCUAACUGGCCCAUUACUGACGCUGAGGCUCGAAAGCGUGGGGAGCAAACAGGAUUAGAUACCCUGGUAGUCCACGCCGUAAACGAUGAGUGCUAGUUGUCGGCAUGCAUGCAUGUCGGUGACGCGAGCUACGACAUAAGUACACUCCGCCGUCGGGAGGUACGGUCGCGAAGAAGUUAAACUAACGAAACGGAAGUUAGACGGCGUGAGACGUACGCCGAACGGACGACGACGAGGGAGGUUAGG
rnacentral:rRNA from 1 species